UGAGCAAUCUGCCCUUCUCAUCGGAAUAAGCGUUGGAAACGACGUCUAAUGCCGAAUACGACCUCCUUUCGCAUGAUCGGAGGUGGAAAGCUCCGGCGGAGAAGGAUGAGCUCGCGGCCUAUCAGCUAGUUGGUGUGGGUAAUGGCCCACCAAGGCGACGACGGGUAGCCGGCCUGGAGAGGGUGACCGGCCACACUGGGACUGAGACACGGCCCAGACUCCGUACGGGAGCAG
rnacentral:rRNA from 1 species